rnacentral:lncRNA from 10 species
UGUCAGUCCACACAUAAAACUGCAGUGCAGGGGAAAAUAAGCAGCCAUUGAUUUCCUGUGAAAGCCCCCCCCGAGUCUGGGGAAAGCAGCCAAUAUGGGGCACCAGCUGCUCUCUGCUGGAAAUCCUUUGUGGAGGGUAUGAGGAGUGGGAGAAGGCUAGAGAAAGCUGGUGGAUAUAAAAGAGAGAGGAAAAAAAAAACAAUCCUUAUACACCAGAACUCAAGACAGAAGAGCUGUGAUGACUGCCUGAGCCAUGCUUCAUUCCUCCAGCUAAGCAUGCUUCUUUCUCAGAAAAUGAAGGGGAUGGGAGGGGAGCUUCAACAAACCCUACCUUUAUUUAUGCAACACGUUGGGAACAGUUCCAAUGAGAAUUUCUCAUGCUCUUUCACGUUCCCUGAAUUCUGUUGGUGAGAAAAGGAUACUGAGGAAGACCACGAGGAAAAACCAGAAGAUGGCCAUCCACAAGCCUAGGAGAGUAGCCUCAGAAGAAACCAUCCCUGCUGACAUCUUGAUCUUGGACUUCUAGACUCCAGAAUUGUGAGUGGAACACUUGAGAUUUAAAUUCUGCCUGAAAAUUGGAAUCAUUUAUUUGUGAACAUGUUCUGAACACAGA